rnacentral:rRNA from 1 species
UACGUAGGGUGCAAGCGUUAAUCGGAAUAACUGGGCGUAAAGGGUGCGCAGGCGGAUUUGCAAGACAGAUGUGAAAGCCCUGGGCUUAACCUGGGAACUGCAUUUGUGACUGCAAGUCUAGAGUAUGGCAGAGGGAGGUGGAAUUCCAUGUGUAGCAGUGAAAUGCAUAGAGAUAUGGAGGAACACCGAUGGCGGAGGCAGCCUCGUGGGCCAAUACUGACGCUCAGGCACGAAAGCGUGGGGAGCAAACAGG